rnacentral:tRNA from 1 species
GCCGAGAUGGCGGAAUUGGUAGACGCAACAGACUUAAAAUCUGUUGUCCGGAUGGGCGUGCGGGUUCGAGCCCCGCUCUCGGUA